CCAGGGACUGGCUGUGCAUACUGGCAGAUGUCAGUCAGCCCUCCUGCAGUUGGGCCAGGGACACCUCAGGGAAACUGUGACCUUCCUUCCAAUCUUGGUAACAUCACCCUUCCAACCCAAACCCCAGGGAAUGGCCCGAAUCUCUCCUGACAAACAGCUCUCAGCCCUGGUCCAGGCCACAGUCUUGCUUGCACUGGGCCGGGUUUCAGAGCCCGAAGGGCACACUGGCAGCCUUUAGUGCAGUGUUUCAGAUGUCACAGACAG
rnacentral:lncRNA from 1 species